rnacentral:misc_RNA from 1 species
ACAAUUCAAUUGAAACAGAAAUCAAGGGAAAAAAAUAUAGAGUGAGAACCAUAAUCUACAUAUUCAAGAAAAAGAGAUUUUAUAAUCUACAGGUUUAUCCAUCACUAGAAUGAGUCAAAGGACAUGUGAUCAUAUUCAAGUUCUCUGUUGAAGAAAAUGUAAAUCAGCAAGAGAAAAAUGUGGAAGAAUAUUUUUGGCAACAAAUGCAUUGCGUGUAUAAUGUAGACAAAAA